CUGGGCUUGACAUGGUAGAAGUAGGAACCUGAAAGGGAGACGAACCGUUAAGUCGGUAGCUAUCACAGGUGCUGCAUGGCUGUCGUCAGCUCGUGUCGUGAGAUGUUGGGUUAAGUCCCGUAACGAGCGCAACCCUCAUCCUCUGUUACUCCGUAAGGAGUUCUCUGAGGAAACUGCCUUUGAUAAAAAGGAGGAAGGUGGGGAUGACGUCAAGUCCUCAUGGCCUUUAUGCCCAGGGCUACACACGUGCUACAAUGGUCACUACAAAGGGUUGCCAAACCGCAAGGUGGAGCCAAUCCCAUAAAAGUGGCCUCAGUUCAGAUUGAGGGCUGCAACUCGCCCUCAUGAAGUUGGAAUCGCUAGUAAUCGUAGAUCAGCUACGCUACGGUGAAUACGUUCC
rnacentral:rRNA from 1 species